rnacentral:rRNA from 1 species
AGUUUGAUCCUGGCUCAGGAUGAACGCUGGCGGCGUGCCUAACACAUGCAAGUCGAGCGAUUUACUUCGGUAAAGAGCGGCGGACGGGUGAGUAACGCGUGGGUAACCUGCCUCAUACACAUGGAUAACAUACCGAAAGGUAUGCUAAUACAGGAUAAUAUAAGAGAUUCACAUGGAUUUCUUAUCAAAGCUCCGGCGGUAUGAGAUGGACCCGCGUCUGAUUAGCUAGUUGGUAAGGUAAUGGCUUACCAAGGCGACGAUCAGUAGCCGACCUGAGAGGGUGAUCGGCCACAUUGGAACUGAGACACGGUCCAAACUCCUACGGGAGGCAGCAGUGGGGAAUAUUGCACAAUGGGCGAAAGCCUGAUGCAGCAACGCCGCGUGAGUGAUGAAGGCCUUCGGGUCGUAAAACUCUGUCCUCAAGGAAGAUAAUGACGGUACUUGAGGAGGAAGCCCCGGCUAACUACGUGCCAGCCGCCGC